rnacentral:misc_RNA from 1 species
AAAAAAAUGGAAAAAGGGAUAUUUUAUAACUUCCAAAUACACGGAAAAUACAGAAUUUUAGUGGCUAAGAAAUUCAAUUGAAGAGAAUUUCCCUUCAUAAACAGACGCAUGAUUCAUUUAUAUAAAUAUGAUGUCAUUUGUGAUUGAGCAAUUUCGAACUUAUAACCAAAAUAACAAAGAAAUUUAGUUCUGUUUUUUUUAGGGACUUCCCUAACCUCUCACAUUUCUUUUGCAAUUCCAGUGCUUAGCAAGGGAGGUGGAAGAAGAAUGAGGAGAAAAGGGAUGUGGAAUCCGCUCCAACAAUUUCCACAACAGGCAAAUAUCCUGAUUAAUGAUUUCAUUUGUUAUGAUGUUAAAGUAAAUAAAUUGCAUUAUGUUGGGAUGCUUUGAUUUAUAUUAAACAAGCAACAAUUCACUCUAUGUGUCCUUGCAUCACCUUCUAAACCACAUACUUUCUUCUUUAUUUAUUUAUUUAU